UAUGUUAAUGGUGGGCUGUAUAAAAUGUGUGAGAAUACAUUUAAAAAGUUUAACACCGUCAUGUUCGAUGAGAGAAUAGAACGUACGAGAACGUACGAGACCAUAGAGAUAGCCGAGACCGAAACUCGUCUUCUACAAUUUGUGAAGGGCUUUUUCCGGAAUAAUAAAACAAACACAGUUGUGAACUCGUGCUAUGACUAAAGUAGCCUAUAGUAUCGAGAAACGAUUAAUAUAAUCGUAUACGUUACAUGUCUGGGUGAAUAAUUCAGCUCAUUCUUCCGAGGGCGCCGACUGAGUUGUUAGAAGUACAGGUAAUAUUCCUAAUUUCGAACAACAAAACAAGUAUCCUCGGAUCUGACGUCUCUACAGGAAGUCCAUGCAGAAAGGACCCACGGCCCUCUGUUUGAGGUAGGGGGCCCACAAACAAGAAUGAAGCUGUUUGUAUUUCCUGAGAGCGGUAAACAUCCUCAACACAAACACUUUCUUGGCCGCACCGCCAGCGAGAGAGGAGAAGCUCACACCGUCAGACUCAAGGAAGACCCAGACGUGAUCUGCCCAAUGAUGCCUCUCUACCAGACGAACUCAAUGCAUUUUACACUUUGACAAUAACAACACCUUGUCGUGCGCGAGGCCCCACACCGACCCGACUCGGUGAGCGAGUUUAUUAGCAAGUCCAUCGGCGAUGUCGUACCCACAGCAACUAUUAAAACAUUCCCAAACCAGAA